rnacentral:rRNA from 1 species
UCCAGCGAACUUUCCAGAGAUGGAUUGGUGCCUUCGGGAACGCUGAGACAGGUGCUGCAUGGCUGUCGUCAGCUCGUGUUGUGAAAGUGUUGGGUUAAGUCCCGNAACGAGCGCAACCCUUAUCCUUUGUUGCCAGCGAUUCGGUCGGGAACUCAAAGGAGACUGCCGGUGAUAAACCGGAGGAAGGUGGGGAUGACGUCAAGUCAUCAUGGCCCUUACGAGUAGGGCUACACACGUGCUACAAUGGCGCAUACAAAGAGAAGCGACCUCGCGAGAGCAAGCGGACCUCAUAAAGUGCGUCGUAGUCCGGAUCGGAGUCUGCAACUCGACUCCGUGAAGUCGGAAUCGCUAGUAAUCGUGGAUCAGAAUGCCACGGUGAAUACGUUCCCGGGCCUUGUACACACCGCCCGUCACACCAUGGGAGUGGGUUGCAAAAGAAGUAGGUAGCUUAACCCUCGGGAGGGCGCUUACCACUUUGUGAUUCAUGACUGGGGUGAAGUCGUAACAAGGUAAGCGUAGCGAG